rnacentral:rRNA from 1 species
AUUGAACGCUGGCGGCAUGCCUUACACAUGCAAGUCGAACGGACCAGAGGAGCUUGCUCUUCUGGUUAGUGGCGAACGGGUGAGUAAUGCAUCGGAACGUACCCAGUAGUGGGGGAUAACGUAGCGAAAGUUACGCUAAUACCGCAUACGACCUGAGGGUGAAAGCAGGGGAUCGCAAGACCUUGCGCUAUUGGAGCGGCCGAUGUCGGAUUAGCUAGUUGGUAGGGUAAAAGCCUACCAAGGCGACGAUCCGUAGCUGGUCUGAGAGGACGACCAGCCACACUGGGACUGAGACACGGCUCAGGCUCCUACGGGAGGCAGCAGUGGGGAAUUUUGGACAAUGGGGGAAACCCUGAUCCAGCCAUGCCGCGUGAGUGAAGAAGGCCUUCGGGUUGUAAAGCUCUUUCAGACGGAAAGAAAUCUUCCGGGCUAAUACCUCGGGAGGAUGACGGUACCGUAAGAAGAAGCACCGGCUAACUACGUGCCAGCAGCCGCAGUAA